AUGGCUUUACGCCUCGGCCCUCUGCCUGGCGCUCGGCCAAGAAGCAGCGCCCUCCGGCGCAACUUCCCGCGACUCGUCCCCACACCGGCUCAAGACGACACAGCCUGCGCGGCGUGGAGACUGGAGCGGACCUCCGUUGCGGCGCCCGAGCACUCUUGGUCGGCAUCAAGGAAGCGACGAGACGCACGGCGCCUUCCGGCAUGGCCGCUUGCAGACACGGCUACUCCCGUGGCAUCAGGCCCUCAGCCACGGCCGCAACGUCUACGGCGGCAGUGCUCCAUAGCGCGGCAAUGCCUGUUACCAACCAUGGCCGUCAGCCUGGUCCUGCCCGACGCGAAGGCGGCCUCCCGCAACAGCCAGAGGCGCGCGGCGACUCCCGGCGUCGGCGGUCCUCGGCCCUGGGCCUCCAGGCGCGGUGCCUUCUGA
rnacentral:rRNA from 1 species